UCUGAUUCUGAUACCACACUGCGCACGCCCGAUCUCAUCUGAUCUCUAAUAGCUAAGCAGUGUUGGGCCUGGUUAGUACUUGGAUGGGAGACCGCCUGGGAAUACCAGGUGCUGUAAGCU
ensembl:rRNA 5S_rRNA 5S ribosomal RNA